rnacentral:rRNA from 1 species
AUUGAACGCUGGCGGAAUGCUUUACACAUGCAAGUCGAGCGGCAGCGCGGGGCAACCUGGCGGCGAGCGGCGAACGGGUGAGUAAUACAUCGGAACGUACCCAGUUGUGGGGGAUAGCCCGGCGAAAGCCGGAUUAAUACCGCAUACGACCUGAGGGUGAAAGGGGGGGAUCGCAAGACCUCUCGCAGUUGGAGCGGCCGGGGGCGGAUUAGCUAGUUGGUAGGGUAAAGGCCUAACAAGGCGACGAUCCGUAGGGGGUCUGAGAGGACGACCGGCCACACUGGAACUGGGACACGGGCCAGACUCCUAGGGGAGGCAGCAGGGGGGAAUUUUGGACAAUGGGGGCAACCCUGAUCCAGCCAUUCCGCGUGGGUGAAGAAGGCCUUCGGGUUUUAAAGCUCUUUCGGCAGGAACGAACCGGUCCUUUCUAAUAAAGGGGGCUAUUGCCGGUACCUGAAGAAGAAGCACCGGCUAACUACGUGCCAGCCGCCGCAGUAAGAC